rnacentral:tRNA from 1 species
GGGGGAUUAGCUCAGCUGGCUAGAGCGCCUGCCUUGCAAGCAGGAGGUCAGCGGUUCGAAACCGCUAUCCUCCACCA